UACGGAGGAUGCAAGCGUUAUCCGGAUUUAUUGGGUUUAAAGGGUGCGCAGGUGGUUGAAUAAGUCAGUGGUGAAAGUCUGCCGCUUAACGGUAGGAUUGCCAUUGAUACUGUUUGACUUGAGUUUAGGUGAGGUAGGCGGAAUGUGUAGUGUAGCGGUGAAAUGCAUAGAUAUUACACAGAACACCGAUUGCGAAGGCAGCUUACUAAUCUACAACUGACACUGAGGCACGAAAGCGUGGGGAUCAAACAGG
rnacentral:rRNA from 1 species